UACAGAGGUCUCAACCGUUGUUCGGAUUCAUUGGGCGUAAAGCGCGCGUAGGCGGCCCGGUAAGUCCGCUGUGAAAGUCAGAGGCUCAACCUUUGAAUGUCAGCGGAUACUGCCGGGCUAGAGUCCGGAAGAGGCGAGUGGAACUCCGGGUGUAGUGGUGGAAUGCGUAGAGCUCCGGAGGAACACCAGUGGCGAAGGCGGCCGCCUGGGCCAGUCCUGACGCUGAGCCGCGAAAGCGUGGGGAGCGAUCCGG
rnacentral:rRNA from 1 species